rnacentral:rRNA from 1 species
CUGUAAGCCUGUGAAGGUGUGUCGUGAGGCAUGCUGGAGGUAUCAGAAGUGCGAAUGCUGACAUAAGUAACGAUAAAGCGGGUGAAAAGCCCGCUCGCCGGAAGACCAAGGGUUCCUGUCCAACGUUAAUCGGGGCAGGGUGAGUCGACCCCUAAGGCGAGGCCGAAAGGCGUAGUCGAUGGGAAACGGGUUAAUAUUCCCGUACUUGGUGUUACUGCGAAGGGGGGACGGAGAAGGCUAUGUUGGCCGGGCGACGGUUGUCCCGGUUUAAGUGUGUAGGUGUGUGUUCCAGGUAAAUCCGGUUCACUUUAACACUGAGGCGUGACGACGAGGCACUACGGUGCUGAAGCAACAAAUGCCCUGCUUCCAGGAAAAGCCUCUAAGCAUCAGGUAACAUCAAAUCGUACCCCAAACCGACACAGGUGGUCAGGUAGAGAAUACCAAGGCGCUUGAGAGAACUCGGGUGAAGGAACUAGGCAAAAUGGUGCCGUAACUUCGGGAGAAGGCACGCUGACACGUAGGUGAAGUGAUUUACUCAUGGAGCUGAAGUCAGUCGAAGAUACCAGCUGGCUGCAACUGUUUAUUAAAAACACAGCACUGUGCAAACACGAAAGUGGACGUAUACGGUGUGACGCCUGCCCGGUGCCGGAAGGUUAAUUGAUGGGGUCAGCGCAAGCGAAGCUCCUGAUCGAAGCCCCGGUAAACGGCGGCCGUAACUAUAACGGUCCUAAGGUAGCGAAAUUCCUUGUCGGGUAAGUUCCGACCUGCACGAAUGGCGUAAUGAUGGCCAGGCUGUCUCCACCCGAGACUCAGUGAAAUUGAACUCGCUGUGAAGAUGCAGUGUACCCGCGGCAAGACGGAAAGACCCCGUGAACCUUUACUAUAGCUUGACACUGAACAUUGAGCCUUGAUGUGUAGGAUAGGUGGGAGGCUUUGAAGUGUGGACGCCAGUCUGCAUGGAGCCGACCUUGAAAUACCACCCUUUAAUGUUUGAUGUUCUAACGUGGACCCGUUACCCGGGUUGCGGACAGUGUCUGGUGGGUAGUUUGACUGGGGCGGUCUCCUCC